rnacentral:rRNA from 1 species
CCUACGGGAGGCAGCAGUAGGGAAUAUUGCUCAAUGGGGGAAACCCUGAAGCAGCAACGCCGCGUGGAGGAUGAAGGUUUUCGGAUUGUAAACUCCUUUUGAUAGAGAAGAUAAUGACGGUAUCUAACGAAUAAGCACCGGCUAACACCGUGCCAGCAGCCGCGGUAAUACGGAGGGUGCAAGCGUUACUCGGAAUCACUGGGCGUAAAGAGGGCGUAGGCGGGAUAGCAAGUCAGAUGUGAAAUCCUAUGGCUUAACCAUAGAACUGCAGUUGAAACUGUUAUUCUAGAGUAUGGGAGAGGUAGGUGGAAUUCUUGGUGUAGGGGUAAAAUCCGUAGAGAUCAAGAGGAAUACUCAUUGCGAAGGCGACCUGCUAGAACAUAACUGACGCUGAUGCGCGAAAGCGUGGGGAGCAAACAGGAUUAGAUACCCCUGUAGUC